rnacentral:rRNA from 1 species
CGAGUAACACGUAUCCAACCUGCCGUCUACUCUUGGACAGCCUUCUGAAAGGAAGAUUAAUACAAGAUGGCAUCAUGAGUCCGCAUGUUCACAUGAUUAAAGGUAUUCCGGUAGACGAUGGGGAUGCGUCCCAUUAGAUAGUAGGCGGGGUAACGGCCCACCUAGUCUUCGAUGGAUAGGGGUUCUGAGAGGAAGGUCCCCCACAUUGGAACUGAGACACGGUCCAA